rnacentral:rRNA from 1 species
UCAGCAGCCGCGGUAAUACGGAGGAUGCGAGCGUUAUCCGGUCUUAUUGGGCGUAAAGAGCAUGUAGGCGGUUUUGUAAGUCUAAUCUUAAAUACCACGGCCCAACCGUGGAGCUGGAUUGGAUACUGCAUAACUUGAGGAAUUGCAGGGGUAAGCGGAAUCUACGGUGUAGGGGUAAAAUCCAUUGAUAUCGUAGAGAACACCAAUGGCGAAGGCAGCUUACUAGGCAUUACCUGACGCUGAGAUGCGAAAGCGUGGGGAGCGAACGGGAUUAGAUACCCCGGUAGUCCACGCCGUAAACGAUGCAAACUAGCUAUUGGGAUUUUCGACCGUCCUCGUAGCGAAGCUAACGCGUUAAGUUUGCCGCCUGGGGAGUACGAACGCAAGUUUAAAACUUAAAGGAAUUGGCGGGGG